AUGGAUGGUAUGGAGGAGCAGCUCGCAGUUCUGGAGCGCAAGCUGCCGGCCAUAUUGGACGUCAUAACUGACGCGGAGGAGCAGGGGACUCACCGGCCUGGGGUGAGUGCUUGGCUCAAAGCACUCAAGGCUGCUGCGUACAAAGCCAAUGACGUUUUCGAUGAGCUCAAGUAUGAAGCGCUCCGCCGUGAAGCGAAGAGGAAGGGGCAAGACAACAAAUUCAGCACCGAUGCAGUGAUGCUCCGCCCGGCUCACAGCCCUAUGCUGUUUCGUUACAGGAUGGGCAAGAAGCUGCGCAAGAUUGUGCGUACCAUCGAGGUCCUCGUUGCUGAGAUGAAUGCCUUUGGGUUCAAAUACCGACAGGAAAUGCCAGCGUCCAAGCAGUGGCGGCAGACAGAUUCGAUCAUCAUUGACUCUGAGAAUAUUAUCAGCAGAGAGGCAGAGAAGUGGAAGAUUGUUGACAUGUUGCUUGCCCAUUCUACAAACAAGGACCUGUUGGUCCUUCCAAUUGUUGGAAUGGGUGGCUUGGGGAAGACCACUUUUGCACAGAUCAUUUACAAUGAUCCUGAUACCCGAAAGCAUUUCCAGCUCCGGAAGUGGGUGUGUGUUUUGGAUGACUUUGAUGUUACAGACAUUGCUAAUAAGAUCAGUGUGUCGACCGAGAAAGACAGUGAAAGGGCACUGGAGAAGCUUCAGCACGAAAUCAGUGGAAGGAGGUACCUCCUUGUCCUGGAUGAUGUAUGGAAUCGCGAUGCUGAUAAGUGGGCAAAGCUAAAAUACUGUCUUCAACAGUGUGGUGGUUCUGAGAGUGCAAUAUUGAUGACAACUCGCGAUGACAGAGUUGCUCAAAUCAUGGGAACAGCUCAGGCCCAUCAAUUGGUAAAGAUGGACAAAAAAGAUUUGCUUGCAAUAUUUGAGAAAAGAUUUGCUUGCAAUAUUUGCUCAAAUCAAGAAUGUGUUACUAUAGAGGAGAGGCUGAACUAUAUGGAGAUUUUGCCAUACACUGUUCGCCAUUUGUUCUUGUCAUCCCAUGGUCCUGGAUCCUUCCUGAGUGCUACACUGAAGGAAACAUGUUCAGGUAUCCAGACCAUGUUGGGCAGUAUUGAUGCUAGUAAUUCGGUACGACAUUUAUCGAAGUGCACUUGUCUUCGAGCACUGCAGCUCUGUCACUACAGGUCGAGUGGGCUUCCAUUUGUACCAAAGCACCCGAAGCACCUCAGGUAUCUCGACCUCUCCGGCAAUUGUCAUAUCAAAGCACUUCCUGAAGAAAUCUGCAUCAUGUAUAACCUACGGACGUUGAACCUUUCUGGAUGUGAACGUCUUAGUGGACUUCCAAAGGAUAUGAAGUACAUGACUGGCCUUCGGCACCUAUAUACUGAUGGGUGUCUGUCCUUAAAGCGCAUGCCUCCAAAUCUUGGAUGGUUAACUUCCCUACAGACGCUGACAUAUUUUGUUGUAGGCUGUAGCUCUGGCUGUAGUAGCAUUGGAGAACUGAGGCACAUGAACCUUCGAGGUCAGCUAGCGCUAUGCCAUCUAGAAAAUGUAACAGAAGCAGAUAUAACAACGGGUAACCAUGGGGGUAAAAAGGACCUCACUCAGCUAUCUUUUGCAUGGAAGAAUGAUUGCAGUGAGGUCGAUUUUCAUGAAAAGGUGCUGGAUGCUUUUACUCCUAACCGUGGUCUUCAGAUUUUACUGGUGGAUUCCUAUAGAAGCAUUAGGUUUCCAACUUGGAUGGCGAACCUGAGUGUGAUGCAAGACCUAGUCAAGUUGAGCCUAGUCAGUUGCACAGUGUGCGACAGACUUCCCCAGCUGUGGCAAUUACCAGCUCUUCAAGUUCUUCAUUUGGAGAGCAUGGACAGAUUGCACUGCCUAUGCAUCGGUGAUGGAGGCACUUUCACAUCCUCAACAUUCCCAAAAUUGAGGGAGCUUGUGUUACUUGAUUUGAAGAUUUUGAAUGGAUGGUGGGAAGUAAAAGGAAGACAUGGACACCAAUUGCUGUUUCCCCUUCUGGAGGAACUAUCAAUUGGGAGUUGCAAUAAGUUGACAAACUUACCAGAACCACCAAUGCUUGGAGAAUCUUCUAGCUGCGGUGGUAACAAGGGACACUCAGCAUUUCCAGCAUUAAAGAAACUCAUGUUACAUGGUUUGAAGAGUUUGAGCAGAUGGGGAAAAAAAGAAGAAAGAUAUGGCGAACAACCAACAUUUCCACUGCUUGAGAAUGCCGAUAUUAUAGAUUGUCCAGAGCUAUCAACUCUAGAAGCACCAAGGCUUCGAGUAUUAGUGUUUCCAGAAGAUAGGCCAUUGAUUUGGUUAUCCAUGGCCAGAUAUAUGACUGCAUUUUCCAGUGCAAGAUUGAAAAUCACACCAUAUUCUCCCUCGCACGUGCAAUGUUCAGUUCAACAGGUAGAUGGUAAGGGGAAAUGGAACCAUAGAUCUUCUCAUGCAGCUAUGGAGCUAUGUGGAAGCUAUUUAUUCCACACAAGCUGGAAAUAUUUUGUAAACCUUAGCUAUCUGGAAAUCAUUUCUUGUGACGAGCUUACCUACUGGCCAUUAAAAGAGCUUCAAUGCUUGGUAUCCUUGAACAGAUUAAUAAUUCAUUGUUGCAACAAUCUUACUGGAUCUGCAAAGAUUCUUGAAGAAGUAGUAUACGAAGGAAAUCAGCUCCUACCAUGUCUUGAAUCUUUGGAAAUAAAAAGUUGUCCAAACUUGGUCGAGAUUUUCAGCCUUCCUUCAUCACUGAAGGAAAUAUAUAUUGAGAGAUGCAGUAAGCUUGAGUUCAUAUGGGGUAAGCAGAGUACUGAAAAGAAUUGUUAUGUUGAAUACCCGGAUGACUUGACAUUAUCAGACUCCUUUAGUGGCCUUAGUGCCUCUGCAAUUGAACGAGAUCCCUCUUCUCUGGCAAGAAAUCAUUAUCUACCAUGCCUCGAGUCUUUAACACUAAUAAGUUGUCAAAGUUUGGUAGAGCUUCUCGAUUUUCCCUUGUAUCUCAAGGAAGUACACAUUUGGAGUUGCCCUAAGCUUGAGUUUAUAUGGGGAAAGCUGGAUAAACAAAUAAGGAGCCAGUAUUUUGAACAGCAGAACAACCUGGAGCUGUCAGAAUCUUGCAGUAAAUUUACUGCAUUCACAACUGUACCAGGUUCAUUGCCAUCAACAGUGAAUCAUCCCCUACCAUGUUUAGAAUAUCUUUGGAUAGCAUAUUGUGAAGGAUUGCUAGAAAUUAUUGAUCUCCCAUCAUCUGUGAGGACAAUAAUUAUCACGGACUGCCCUAAACUUGAAGUCCUGUCAGGGCAACUUCAUAAACUUGGCCAUCUUGAUAUUCGAUUCUGUGAUCAGUUGAGGCUAGUAGAGUCAUGUCAGGGAGACUUCUCAUCACUGGAGACCGUCUAUAUUGAUGGCUGCGAGAGUUUAAAGUGCUUACCCGAUAAGCGUUCACAUACAUAG
rnacentral:rRNA from 1 species